UAGGGAAUCUUCCACAAUGGACGCAAGUCUGAUGGAGCAACGCCGCGUGAGUGAAGAAGGUUUUCGGAUCGUAAAGCUCUGUUGUUGGUGAAGAAGGAUAGAGGCAGUAACUGGUCUUUAUUUGACGGUAAUCAACCAGAAAGUCACGGCUAACUACGUGCCAGCAGCCGCGGUAAUACGUAGGUGGCAAGCGUUGUCCGGAUUUAUUGGGCGUAAAGUGAGCGCAGGCGGAAUGAUAAGUCUGAUGUGAAAGCCCACGGCUCAACCGUGGAACUGCAUCGGAAACUGUCAUUCUUGAGUGCAGAAGAGGAGAGUGGAAUUCCAUGUGUAGCGGAGGAAUGCGUAGAUAUAUGGAAGAACACCAGUGGCGAAGGCGGCUCUCUGGUCUGCAACUGACGCUGAGGCUCGAAAGCAUGGGUAGCGAACAGG
rnacentral:rRNA from 1 species